CCUACGGGCCGCACCAGUGGGGAAUAUUGGACAAUGGGCGCAAGCCUGAUCCAGCCAUGCCGCGUGAGUGAAGAAGGCCUUAGGGUUGUAAAGCUCUUUCACCGGUGAAGAUAAUGACGGUAACCGGAGAAGAAGCCCCGGCUAACUUCGUGCCAGCAGCCGCGGUAAUACGAAGGGGGCUAGCGUUGUUCGGAAUUACUGGGCGUAAAGCGCGCGUAGGCGGAUAGAUAAGUCAGAGGUGAAAUCCCGGGGCUCAACCCCGGAAUUGCCUUUGAUACUGUUUAUCUUGAGUGCAGAAGAGGUAAGUGGAAUUCCGAGUGUAGAGGUGAAAUUCGUAGAUAUUCGGAGGAACACCAGUGGCGAAGGCGGCUUACUGGUCUGCAACUGACGCUGAGGCGCGAAAGCGUGGGGAGCAAACAGGAUUAGAUACCCCAG
rnacentral:rRNA from 1 species